rnacentral:lncRNA from 1 species
GCAUUGUAUAAAAACUUCUCUAGCUGCUGUGUCACAAAGAUACUGGAAAGGGGCAAGGUGAAGGAGGAGACCAGCAGAGCAGCCACGGCCGGGACAGUGCAGAGGAGGGAAGAUGACACAGCUGUGAGACAUUUUGGGGAAUAGGUCCUUCUGUCACGGGGCACAGGACCCUUGACCGCAAAAUGACGUGAGUUACCACUGACUAUUUUCUGGGUCUUGAUCUUGUGACUCCAAAUGGAUGGUAAGCUCCUUAAGGGAAAGUCUAUGAUAUUCAUCCAACCACCCAUCCAUCCUUUCAUCCACCCAACCAUCCAUCCAUCUGACCAUCAUCCAUCCAUCCAUCCAUCCAUCUAUCCAUCUUCUAUCCAUCUGUCUACUCACCCAUCCACCCAUCCAUUCAAUUAUUCAUCCAUCCCUCUUCCAUCCAUUCACCCAUCUUCCAUCCAUCUGUCCACCCAUCCAUUCCACCAUUUAUCCAUCCAACCACCAUCUAUUCAUCCAACCACUCGUCUAUUCAUCCCUCUGACCAUCCAACCAUCCAUCGAUUUGUUCAAUUAUUUUAUCAAGCAUCUACACUGCACCACACACCCUAAUGGGUGUUGGGGAGAAAAUGGAGAGUAAAAUCAGAUGGGACCUCUGACCUCAGUGCGGCUGACCAUCAGUCCGGUAGAGGAGACACGUAAACUGACAAUUAUAAAUAAACACAAUGUGUCAACUCUGACAAGUGCUGUGAGGGAGAAAUCAGCAGUACUGAGAAAGCCUUUAUGGUCCUGGUGUGAGAGGUGGGAUGAGCCCAACACAGCAACAACAGCAAGACCAUGGGGGAGUGUGGUGCAGAUGGGCAGGUGUACAGAGCAUGCAGGCCAUGUCUGCCAGCCCUCUCUUUGUGCAUUAGCAACAGUAAAACGGGGCUUGUGUUUGGGCAGAUUAUACCACUGGUCUUGCAUCCCAAAUGUCUCUUUGUUCACUCGUUUAUACAAACAUGCUCAAUAAUAUUUAUGCAUUUUUACUGUGACAUCAUUUUCUUAUAUAAUAAAAGUGCCUAUUUAUAUACCGUAUAUGUAUAUAUAUAAUACACAGAUGCACACACACAAGCACACAUGCACAGAGCUUCUUGACAGUCAGUCCCUCAUAAGGUAGUCCACUGAAGUGCAGUCAUCACCAUCCUCAGACCUCAUGAUUAUAUAACUAGAGCACCUUAUAUUUUUAUAUUUUAUUAUGUAUUUAAUAAUCACAUAACUCUUUAGUGAAUGCCAAUUAAUUAGGAGAAUGACAUGCCUUCUCUCUGCUCCUCAUAAUAUCCCCCUUAGAUAGGUUUUAUCUCCCCACUUACAAGAUGUGGAGACUGGGCCGGGCACGGUGACUCACGCCUGUAAUCCCAGCACUUUGGGAGGAUGAGGCGGGUGGAUCACAUGAGAUCAGGAGUUUGAGACCAUCCUGGCCAACAUGACAAAACCGUCUCCUCUAAAAAUACCAAAAUUAGCUGGGACUGGUGGCACGUUCCUUUAAUCCCAGCUACUCGGGAGGUUGAGGCAGGAGAAUUGCUUGAACCCAGGAGGCAGAGGUUGUAGUGAGCCAAGAUCGUGCCACUGCACUCCAGCCUUGGUGACAGAGCAAGACUCUGUCUCAAAAAACAAACAAACACACAAAAACAAAAAAACAGAAAAAAACAGACUUGGAGACUGAGGCUCUGAGAUGUGAAGUCACUUGCAGACAGGUCAGACAGCCAGGUCAGGUCAGACAGCCAGAAGCUGGGGAAGGCAGCGCUGGAGCUAGGUCUGUGUGACACCUCCUCCAUCUAUCCUGCCCCCUCUCUAGCAUUUUAGGACCCAAAGGGACCUAAGAGAGUGCUCAGACAGCUGGCUGCGUUAGGAGCUACCUGUGGCUGCUGAAGAAGAGUUUGCGUCAAUUUAAAGAAAGAGCCAUUCAAGGAAUGAGGACCAUGACCUUGGCUGCACUGACCAGCUGGGCUCUGGAGACUCAGUGAGGCUGCCCAGCCACCAACAGGCCCUGCACAAUAGAUCCACGGACCCAGCAGUCAGAGGUGACCCUAGGGGUCACUGGCCCGUGGCUAAGGAGGAGGAGCACAGACCUGCGACCCCCUUUUCCCAUGGACCACCCAGGGAGGCUGAGCGGGGACUCUGAGCUCAGAUGGACAACCUCAGAGCCACUGGGAAUUUGCCUGAGGCCACUGGGGCCAGGGUUAAAUCCAUAUGAAGCAGCGCGGGCUGUGCACCUGCCAUUUUCUAGGCUCUGUCACAUGCAUCUUUCUGCCAAAUCUCAUGGUGAUCCUUCAAGAAUAGUACUAUUAAUCUCCCCAUUGACAGAGGGAGAAAGGGAGGCUCAGAGACGUUAAGUGUCUCACCAAAGCUCACACAGCUUCCAAGCAAUAGAACUUUACUCAGUACUCAGUACAGGUUAACAUUUAUUCAUUCACUCGAUAACCAUUUGCAGCACAGCUACCAUAUGCCAGGCAGUGUUCUAGGCACUUAGAAUACAUAGAUGAGCAAAACAGGCAAAACCUUUCCCUCAGGGCGUUACCAUUUGAGUGCCACCAUGCCACGGCUGGUACAGUUGCUAUUGAGACAAACAAAAUAAGACCCAGUUUUUGCCUUUGGGGAGUAGGUAGUCUAGUGGAGGAGGCACAUACACAGAAAAUUCCAAAGUACUGUGGAAAUCUCAGGGUACUUUGAUAGGGAUUACCAGAGGAGCUGUGAGAAUAAAGGCUGGAUAUCAGGGAAGGCUUCCUGGAAGAGGUGUUGCCUGAAAUGAGCCUGGAAGGAUCACUUAGGGACAGAAAAGUCAUUCCGUGUAGAAUUCAUGGUGAGUGACAGAGCCUAAACCCAGUCUCUUUUGCAUGCUGAGCACUGAGACCCAGACGCUGGUGCUCAGACCUGAUGACUUAUUUUCCCAGGUACAGCUUGAGCAAAGACACAGAAGCAGAAGGCAGGUUUUUGGUUCCAUGAACUCUACAUCUGGCUACAUACAAAUGGUGAAGAGGAACAGGGAGAAACAUGGUUGAAAAGAACAGGCUUGGACUUCAGGAAGCAGUAAAAUGAGCGAAUGCCAUUUAUGGUUACAAAGAUAACUCAGCUGGGGGCCAAACAGAGACUGAAAUGGAGUGGGUGAGGAUGGAGGCCGGGAGGAGAUGGCUGCAGAGGUCCCAGCAAUGACAGUGGUUGUGGGAAGGGGCAACCCCAAGUCUUGUGCUCCCAACUGCAAAUCCAGUGCUUUUUCUAAAAAAAUAUUUAAAUAAUUUAUUUAUUUUUGAGAUGGAGUCUCGCUCUGUCACCCAGGCUGGAGUGCAGUGACACAAUGUCGGCUCGUGCAACCUCUGCCCCCCGGGUUCAAGCGAUUCUCCUGCCUCAGCCUCCCAAGUAGCUGGGAUUACAGACGCACGCCUCCACGCCUGGCUAAUUUUUUAUAUUUUUGGUAGAGAUGGGGUUUCACCAUGUUGCCCAGGCUGGUCUCGAACUCCUGACUUCAAGUGAUCCACCCACCUCGGCCUCCCAAAGUACUAGGAUGACAGGCGUGAGCCACUGUGCCCAGCCUUAUUUUUUUUUUUAAUUUAUAUUUUCAGAGGCAAACGAUCCUUGCUCAUUAAAAAAAGGAAAUAGAAAUUCAAAACAAAAAUGCCUGUAUCUGAUGGGAAAGAUGAGCCCAAUGUUCUUUUUUAAAAAACCUUUAUUAUGAAAUAUUUCAACUGAACAUAUGCAGUUUAUAUUGUUAUAAAGCAUAACAAGCAAUCAAACAGCUGUGAACCCACCACUCCAUGUCAGAACUAGAACUUCCCAAAGCAGUCGGAGCUGAGGUGAGAUCCACUCUGAUGCCCUUCCCCAACUCCACGCCACCCCCCAAGACCUGACCACCUGAUUACUCUGGGAUUUCAUUUUUGUCUCGUUCCCUUGCUUUGCUUUAUGUCUUUACCAAAUGUGAAUGUGUGCCUAAACAAUACAGUGCUCGAUUUGCUUGUGUUUAAGCUUUAUUACAAAUAUAACUUUGAUCCUUCUGCUACUUGCAAUUCUAAAUUUGAUAUUACGAGUCUCAGCCUCAUCGGCGUUGAUGCGUGUGACCGACAUUGAUUCACUCUCACCAGUACGUGGUGUGUUCCGUUGCAUGCAUGCACCCCUGCUGGGGUAUCCAUUCUCCUGUUGGUGGACCUUUGGGUGGUAUUAGUUGCUGGUCAUCUCCAUGGUGCUGUCCUCUUGCAGGUCUCCAGGACACAUGUGCAUGAGUUCCUCUAGGAAACCACGGUGUACAACUGCUGGGUUGCAGGCCCAGGGUUCUUUCCACUUCUCUAUCCUCCCAAGUAGGGUCCAGCUGGCCUUAGUGCUGCCAUGCUGAGAGCUCUGGGAGGGGCAACCCAGGGCAGACAGGCCCAGGCCAGCCACCCUGCCCCAGGCAUUUCCCAGGACUCAUCAGGCACCCAGCGGCCCCUCAGCAGUGAGCAAUACCAGAAAUCUGCCAGCUGGCUACUAACUGGGUCACAAGAGAGUACUGCUGUCUCACUCAGGGUGCGUUCCAUUUCCUUCAGCACUUGCGCCAAGUAAGGCUGUGUUCACAGGCCACAAGACCCAAGGGAGAUGGAAAUCAGCUCACAGAUGCUGAGCUGACUGCACACCAGGCAGUGUGCAAAGCACCUUACACAUAUAACUCACUUAAUCCUCAUCCCUGACUGCACGAGGUGGGCACUAUUAUUAACCCCACUUUACAGAUAAGAAACUGAGGCGCAGGAAGUUGAAAAUUUUGCCCAGACCAACACGUACAACUUCAAAUCCAGACAGCCUGGCCGCUCUGCUCCUACUACUCUGCUACCCCAUCUCUCAAGAGGGGAAAAGGACUAGCUCCUUGCCCAAUCCUGAGGUUGUCAGCAUUCUUUUACUGGCAAGGAAAACAAAUGGAACUUCAAUGAAUAUAUGUAGAAAGAAAGACUUAUUAGCUGACAAAAAUCAAUAGAGAAAAGACAGGUUAGAAGCAGAUCUCAGGGCCCACUGGGUCCAGGGAGGCGAAAGCGCCCCUCCUUCUCCGUCUUCCUCCUCCACGUCUCUCUUUGUGCUGUUUUCAUUCUUUCCUAUUGCAAAAGGGCCUCCUCCCCUGGGCAGGUAGGUGGCUGCCUGCAACUCUCACCUCACCUUCUCACAGAUCUGCCUAUUUCUAUUUUAAAAUACAAACAAACCAAAAGCCAGAGAAGGUUCCUGACAGGCCCAGGAAAGGAUGUGAUUAGCUUAGUCUGGGCCACCUGCCCAUUUUUUAUGGACUAAAUGUUUGUGUGUCUCCAAAUUGGUAUGUGGAAGCCCUACCCCCAGUGUGACAGUAUUAGGAAGUGGGGCCUCUGAAAGGUCAUUAGGUUUCAAUGAGGUCAUGAGGGUGGGGGGAUCCAUGAUGGAAUUAGUGCCGUUAUAAGAAAAGGAAGAGACACCAGAGUUUUCUCUCCACCAUGUGAGGUUACAGCAAGAAGGCAGCUGUCUGCAAGCCUGAAGAGAGCCCUUACCAGGAGCCAAAUCUGCCAGCACCCUGAUCUUGGACUUCCAGAACUGUGAGAAAUAAAUUCCUGUUCCUGAAGCCACUCAGUCCGUGGGAUUCUAUUAGCAGUCGGGACUGACUUGGACACUGUUCCUGGAGCAACGCUAGUGGCCUGGGGAAGCUGGGCCCUGGGACUGGUGCAGGGAGGGCCACAGUCCCAGCCUAUAGCAGCUGAAGCUGCAUUUGUCCCCAGGAAGAGGACAUCACAGACACAACCCCAGAGGCAGUGGGAGGGGGCAUGAUUGAUUGGGAGCAAGGCAACAGUCUAACAGGGCCCAUCUGUGCCCAGGAGUGGGAGAAGCUCCUGGCCAUGAAGAGAGCCCUCACCAGAGGCCAAACCUACUAGGACCUUGAUCUUGGACUUCCAGCCUCCUCCCUGGAAACACGUGACAGCACAUAUGGGUGGUCUCCCUUCUUGAGCGAGGCCUGAGUCUUCACCCAGGAUCCAACUAGACUGAAAAGAACUGUCUCCCUAACAGCACUCCAUCAGCAUUCAGAGAAAAGAGAUUUCCACCUGGUGUUUUUAACCAACACAACCUCCUUCUACACCCUAACCCAUAGAGGGCCCUGGGACCAGUAUAAGAAGUGUGGGUGUUAAGCUGGGACUGCUAGAAGGAGCAGCAGCCCCAUGGGAGCAGGGCAGGAGGGUCCCCUCUUGACCUGCUGACUGCAAACACUGCAGCCGGAGAGACACUCACUCAGGCCACGGUGGGGAGGCCCAGGGGAGGCACGUGUCCUCAUUCUGCUAAGGCGAUAGGGCUCGGGCACAGGACAGGCGAUUUGACAUCAGAAAAUCCUGCAGGGGCUGGCCUGGCCUCUAGAUGCACGUCCUCCCCUUCAGACCCACCCCACACUCACCCAGCCCUGGGCUCCGGCCACUCCAUGGAGCCCGUGGCAAAGGCCUGAUGUGUCCUCAGUGAAUCCAGGUCAGAGAGCGGUCGAGCAGCAACUUGGGGAGCCAAGUGGAUGAAAAUCUGGACAAGAGAACAAAGCCAACCUGUUGGCCAAGGAAACUCAAUCCGAUUAUACCCCAGAGCCCCCCGUGGCUGGGAGCAGCCGUGUGACAGAGAAGAAAGGGUGCUUUCAUGGGCCCGGCCCUGCCUGCUGGCAAAUGGGCCCCACGAGUGCCCUGCCCCUUCUCCAGCGGCCCCACGGGAUUGUCUGGGUGUGGGGAAGGAACCCCUCCAUUGAGUCUCAGAGGAGACAGGAUGGGGGAGACCGGCAUCAGGAUAAGCCUUGGCCAAUGAAUACCUUCAAAGUUAAGGCUCUGGAGAUUUAAAAAAAAAAAAAAAAAAAAAAAGCCUGUGCGCGUUUGUCCUGGAAAUUGGCUCAUGGACAGAUUAAAUUUAGGAGUAACUGGGGCAGAUAUGCAGGGAAGCAUGUUUCCUUAAUGAGCCUGUCUUUAUUUAACUGCUUAAUCAUUUACUGGGCCAAAAAAUCUGGAGGUGACUCCGAAAGUCACGACGGUUAAGACAGUGACGGAUUGAGCCCUUGUCAGGCCAUUUCAGGGCCUGGCUCUGGUGACAUCAAUUCCCUGCUCCUGUCCUUGUCACCCCUGAUGGGGCAAGGAGGGGCUACACUCACCGCCAGGAUAACCCCAGCGUGGGUUAUCAGCCAUUUGGUUCCAGAACAGUUUUGCUUUGCCAUUUCAUUGUCCUCAAAGGGAGGCUCCUGGGAUGGGCAAUGUUGAUUUGGGUGAGGCUUCCUCUUCUUGCCCUGACACCUCCUUCCUCCAGCCUCCUUCAUUGCCUCUACUUCACUUCUCAUUCACUCAUUCAUUCAUUCAUUCAUUUGUUCAACUGUUUACACUAACAUAUGCCAUGCACUGUGAGAAAGCCCAGGAGACACAGUGUGGCAAAGCCCGACGUAGCGGUUGCCCUCGUGAAGCUGCUUACGGUCCCGUGGGGAAGGCCGAUUUUAAUCAAGUAAUUCCAAAUUCGAUCUUUACAACUGCAAUAAAUGCACUGAAGAAAAAGUGAAGAAAACUGGGCCCAGGGUAGAAGGAGGGGGGUGAUGCGUAGCCGGAGCAAGGGGCAAUUUUAAGGCAGAAAAACAAUUCUGUAUGGUACCGUAAUGAUGGGUGUGGAGACAACGCAUUUGCCAAAACCCGUAGAACUGUCUAACACAGAGAAGGAAGCCUAAAGUAAACUAUGAACUGGAGCUAAUAAUAGUGUAUCAAUAUGGGUUCACCCAUUGUAACAAAUGUACCACACCAAUGCAAGAGGUUAGCAAUGGGGCAGACAACUGGGAUAGUGGGCGGAGGGGAUAUACUGAAAGUUUCUGUAUUUUCUGCAAACCUAAAACUGCUCUAAAAAAUAAGGUCUACUUUUUUAAAAAGUGAAGAGAGCUAUGAGAUGAUAUUAAGGAACUUAUCUACACUUGCGGGUCUGCAGAGGUGCUACUCGAAACCAGACUUGGAUUGACCUUCAUCUGGCCAUGGCUGCAGGGUCUGCCUGCAGGUCUCCUUUCCUCUGCAGGGUGUGGGGACCCACUGUUUCGUGAGUGCCUGUCACCUGCAGCUCAUCACCGGGCACUGCCCACCUGUUCCAUUUGUGAUGUGGGGGUGAUCUUCUGGGGGUAUACUAGAACUAAGAUAAGGAAGGCGAGGGGAAGCAAAAGGGUAUAGCUCGGAACAACAGAGCCAGC